GACGAACGCCGGCGGCAGGCCUAACACAUGCAAGUCGAGCGGACCUUUCGGGGUCAGCGGCGGACGGGUGAGUAACGCGUGGGAAUAUGCCCUUCUCUACGGAAUAGUCCUGGGAAACUGGGGGUAAUACCGUAUACGCCCUUUGGGGGAAAGAUUUAUCGGGGAAGGAUUAGCCCGCGUUGGAUUAGGUAGUUGGUGGGGUAAUGGCCUACCAAGCCGACGAUCCAUAGCUGGUUUGAGAGGAUGAUCAGCCACACUGGGACUGAGACACGGCCCAGACUCCUACGGGAGGCAGCAGUGGGGAAUCUUAGACAAUGGGGGCAACCCUGAUCUAGCCAUGCCGCGUGAGUGAUGAAGGCCUUAGGGUUGUAAAGCUCUUUCAGCUGGGAAGAUAAUGACGGUACCAGCAGAAGAAGCCCCGGCUAACUCCGUG
rnacentral:rRNA from 1 species